UACGUAGGGGGCAAGCGUUGUCCGGAAUUAUUGGGCGUAAAGAGCGCGUAGGCGGUCCGAUAAGUCGGCUGUGAAAGUCCAGGGCUCAACCCUGGAAAGCCGGCCGAUACUGUCGGACUAGAGUCCGGAAGAGGCGAGUGGAAUUCCCGGUGUAGCGGUGAAAUGCGCAGAUAUCGGGAGGAACACCAAUGGCGAAGGCAGUGUUCUGGGCCAGUACUGACGCUGAGGAGCGAAAGCGUGGGGAGCAAACAGG
rnacentral:rRNA from 1 species